rnacentral:rRNA from 1 species
AACGCGAAGAACCUUACCUAGACUUGACAUCUCCUGAAUUACUCUUAAUCGAGGAAGUCACUUCGGUGACAGGAAGACAGGUGGUGCAUGGUUGUCGUCAGCUCGUGUCGUGAGAUGUUGGGUUAAGUCCCGCAACGAGCGCAACCCCUAUUGUUAGUUGCUACCAUUUAGUUGAGCACUCUAGCGAGACUGCCCGGGUUAACCGGGAGGAAGGUGGGGAUGACGUCAAAUCAUCAUGCCCCUUAUGUCUAGGGCUACACACGUGCUACAAUGGCUGGUACAGAGAGAUGCGAUACCGUGAGGUGGAGCCAAACUUUAAAACCAGUCUCAGUUCGGAUUGUAGGCUGAAACUCGCCUACAUGAAGCUGGAGUUGCUAGUAAUCGCGAAUCGGAAUGUCGCGGUGAAUACGUUCCCGGGCCUUGUACACACCGCCCGU